AUGGAAGAGGUGGAGAAUUCCAGCAAGCGUAAAGCACCCGAGCUGAGCUCGGAGGACAAUUCCUCCGCUGCUGUUCUGGACGAGCAGCAGUCGCUGCCUGGCUCGACUGCCAAGCGUCCGAACCUCGCCCGGUCGUGCAUCCAUGAGGUCGCUGUCCCCAACGGCUACGAUUUGUCCAAGGAUGAGGCCGUACAUGGGACCCUUUCAAACCCUGCGUUUAAUGGGGAGAUGGCCAAGACAUACCCGUUUCAGCUCGACCCCUUCCAGAGCAUCUCCAUUGCGUGCCUGGAGCGGAACGAAUCUGUCUUGGUCUCGGCUCACACCUCUGCGGGGAAGACGGCCAUCGCUGAGUACGCCAUUGCAAUGUCGUUCAGAGACAAGCAGAGGGUGAUAUACACCUCUCCGUUGAAGGCUCUUAGUAAUCAGAAGUACAGGGAGCUUAGUCAGGAGUUCUCUGAUGUUGGAUUGAUGACUGGUGAUGUUACGCUUCAGCCAAAUGCUACUUGCCUGGUCAUGACAACAGAAAUCCUGAGGGCGAUGCUUUAUAGGGGCUCCGAGGUGAUCAAGGAAGUUGGUUGGGUUAUAUUUGAUGAGAUCCACUACAUGAAGGAUCGUGAGAGAGGCGUUGUGUGGGAAGAGAGUAUAGUUUUCCUGCCCCCUGCCAUCAAGAUGGUCUUUCUUUCUGCUACCAUGUCAAAUGCAACCGAGUUCGCUGAGUGGAUAUGCAAUCUGCACAAGCAGCCUUGUCAUGUGGUGUACACAGACUUCAGGCCAACACCGCUACAGCACUAUGUGUUCCCAAUAGGUGGGUCUGGUCUCUACCUUGUAGUGGAUGAAAAUGGUCAGUUCAGGGAGGAUAAUUUUCUAAAGCUGCAAGACACAUUUGCAAAGCAACCUAGUCAACCAGAUGGGAGGAAGGGCGGUGGGCCUAAAGCCAGUGGCCGAAUCGCAAAAGGUGGAAAUGCUUCUGGAACAUCUGACAUAUACAGAAUUGUCAAGAUGAUUAUGGACCGCAAGUUUCAACCAGUCAUAAUUUUCAGCUUUAGUAGAAGAGAAUGUGAGCAUCAUGCCAUGUCGAUGUCAAAACUUGAUUUCAACACUCAGGAAGAAAAGGAUAACAUUGAGCAGGUUUUCCGUAGUGCUAUUUUCUGUUUAAGUGAGGAAGAUAGAGGGUUACCUGCUAUAGAGUUGAUGUUGCCUCUUCUUAAACGAGGUAUUGCAGUACACCAUUCUGGACUGCUUCCAUUAAUUAAAGAGCUGGUGGAAUUGCUCUUCCAAGAAGGUCUUGUUAAAGCUCUUUUUGCUACUGAGACGUUUGCCAUGGGCCUGAACAUGCCUGCAAAAACAGUUGUCUUCACAUCUGUCAAGAAAUGGGACGGUGAUAGUAACCGCUAUAUUGCUUCUGGAGAAUAUAUACAGAUGAGUGGAAGAGCUGGUCGACGUGGCAUGGAUGCACGUGGUAUUUGUGUUAUAAUGAUUGAUGAGAAGAUGGAAAUGAGUGUUAUCAAGGACAUGGUGUUAGGUAAACCAGCGCCUCUCAUCAGUACUUUUCGACUGAGCUACUACACUAUUCUGAAUUUACUGAGUCGUGCGGAGGGCCAAUUUACUGCUGAACAUGUGAUCCGGAAUUCAUUCCACCAGUUUCAGUAUGAAAAGGCAUUACCUGAAGUCAUUCAGAAGAUUACAAAGUUGGAAAAUGAAGCUACAUUGCUGGACUCUUCUGGAGAGAAUGAUCUUGCCGAGUAUCACAAGUUAGGGCUUGAUAUAUCUGAACUUGAAAAGAAAAUCAUGUCUGAGAUGAUUAGACCAGAGAGAGCUUUGUUAUAUUUGGUCCCUGGAAGGCUGGUUAAAGUCAGAGAUGGCUCAACAGACUGGGGGUGGGGUGUGGUCGUAAAUGUUGUGAAGAAACCUCCAGCAUCUAGUACUCUCCCCCCUGCAUUAAGUGCACCUCGCAAUAACUAUAUAGUGGAUACCUUGCUUCAUUGUUCUUCAAGUUCAAGUGAGAAUGGAGCCAAUGGACCACGUUCAAAGCCAUGCCCACCUCGCCAAGGGGAGAAGGGAGAAAUGCAUGUGGUGCCUGUACCAUUACCUUUAUUAUCUGGUCUAAGCAGUGUUAGAAUCAGCAUUCCAACUGAUCUACGACCACCUGAAGCGAGACAAAACAUACUCUUUGCAGUUCAAGAACUAGGAAAACGUUACCCCCAAGGGCUUCCAAAGCUACAUCCAAUUACGGACAUGGGUAUUGAAGAACCUGAAUUAGUUGACUUGGUUCAUAAACUUGAUGGUCUCGAGCAGAAAUUAUGUUCUCAUCCACUUAAUAAGUCUGAUCAAAGUGAGCAGCAACUGUCAUGGUACCAAAGAAAGGCUGAACUGAAUCAUGAAAUUCAACAACUAAAGUCAAAGAUGCGGGAUUCACAGCUGCAAAAAUUUAGGGAUGAACUAAAGAACCGGUCUCGCGUUCUAAAGAUGCUUGGUCACAUUGACACGGAUGGUGUUCUCCAGCUAAAGGGACGUGCUGCCUGUUUAAUAGACACUGGGGAUGAGCUGCUUAUCACUGAACUUAUGUUCAACGGUACAUUUAAUGAACUUGAUCACCAUCAAGUUGCUUCUGUUGUUAGCUGCUUUGUACCGUGUGAGAAGUCAAGUGAGCAAAUACGCCUGAGAAAUGAGCUUUCUAAGCCAAUGAUGCAACUCUCGGAGGCUGCAAGAAAAAUAGCUGAGGUACAACGAGAAUGCAAAUUGGACGUAAAUGUGGAGGAAUACGUUGAAUCAACUUGUAAACCCUAUCUGAUGGAUGUCAUAUACUGCUGGUCAAAGGGCGCGACCUUUGGAGAGGUGAUAGAAAUGACUGACAUUUUUGAAGGAAGCAUCAUACGGCUAGUUAGGAGGCUGGAUGAAUUUCUAAAUCAGCUAAAAGCUGCUGCUGAAGCCGUUGGGGAGGUAAACCUUGAGAAGAAGUUUGGGUUGGCGAGCGAAAGCUUGCGUCGGGGUAUCAUGUUUGCCAACUCAUUGUACCUGUGA
rnacentral:rRNA from 1 species